AGGUUUGCACUGUCGGGAAGGGUGAUAACCUUCGUUGAAGGUUUGACUUGAGCGAAAGCGAAAGAACGUUGCCGACGGCAACGGCCCGCAGGGUGAGGCGCGAAGCGACGAAUAAUCCUUCCCCCACCACCC
rnacentral:sRNA from 1 species